rnacentral:rRNA from 1 species
UACGAAGGGGGCUAGCGUUGCUCGGAAUCACUGGGCGUAAAGGGUGCGUAGGCGGGUCUUUAAGUCAGGGGUGAAAUCCUGGAGCUCAACUCCAGAACUGCCUUUGAUACUGAGGAUCUUGAGUUCGGGAGAGGUGAGUGGAACUGCGAGUGUAGAGGUGAAAUUCGUAGAUAUUCGCAAGAACACCAGUGGCGAAGGCGGGUCUCUGGACCGAUACUGACACUGAGGAGCGAAAGCGUGGGGAGCGAACAGG